rnacentral:lncRNA from 1 species
GCACCAGUGCGAUCAGCACCUCGGAGACAACAAAGCUACACUUUCGAUUCAUCUCGAUCGACCACGGAUUCACAACAAAAUCCAACCUUCUUCCAAUAGAAGGAAACACACACACAAAUACAUAUAAAACAUGUAUUUUUAGAUUUUCUCGAAAUCCGUGCGUCAAACUCAAAAUCCAUCAGCGUCACUAGUUCCAGAACAGCUGAACCGGUCGAAAUGAGCUAUUGGACUGAUAUGAACGGAGUCCGAUACGCACCAGAAGCCAACUCUACUCCGUGGCUUCUCCGGAAAACCGGAGUUACUAUUCACUUAAGUGAAAACUAAAAAUCGCGUAUCUUCUCCAUUUUAGCUCAGUUUCUCCUGAAACUUGACGAGUCCUUAUGUAAUUAAAUUACACACAUAAACAUCAUCAACAGAGAGUUUAGUUGUACUGUCAAAAAAAUCUCAGUCCUUACAGUGAAUCAUCAUCAUCGACAGGUUAC